rnacentral:rRNA from 1 species
GAAACAUACUUGAGAUCAGAUCAGGUUUUUGCUUCACGCCAUAUCAAGUGCCGACGCAAAGGCGGACUGAGUAUUGAAUGUUGAAUGUCGGAUAGCGGCGGACGGGUGAGUAACGCGUGGGCAACCUGCCUUUCACAGGGGGAUAACACAGGGAAACUUGUGCUAAUACCGCAUAACAUCAUGUGGGGGCAUCUCAUGUGAUCAAAGGAGCAAUCCGGUGAAAGAUGGGCCCGCGUCCAAUUAGCUAGUUGGUGAGGUAAUGGCUCACCAAGGCGACGAUUGGUAGCCGAACUGAGAGGUUGAUCGGCCACAUUGGGACUGAGACACGGCCCAGACUCCUACGGGAGGCAGCAGUGGGGAAUAUUGCGCAAUGGGGGGAACCCUGACGCAGCAACGCCGCGUGAAGGAAGAAGGUCUUCGGAUUGUAAACUUCUUUGAUGAGGGACGAAGUAAGUGACGGUACCUCAAAAACAAGCCACGGCUAACUACGUG